AACGAACGCUGGCGGCAGGCCUAACACAUGCAAGUCGAACGGGACCUUCGGGUCUAGUGGCGGACGGGUGAGUAACGCGUGGGAACGCGCCCUUUGGUUCGGAAUAGCCUCGGGAAACUGGGAGUAAUACCGGAUACGGUCGAGAGACGAAAGAUUUAUCGCCGAAGGAUCGGCCCGCGUUGGAUUAGGUAGUUGGUGGGGUAAAGGCCUACCAAGCCGACGAUCCAUAGCUGGUUUGAGAGGAUGAUCAGCCACACUGGGACUGAGACACGGCCCAGACUCCUACGGGAGGCAGCAGUGGGGAAUCUUAGACAAUGGGGGAAACCCUGAUCUAGCCAUGCCGCGUGAUCGAUGAAGGCCUUAGGGUUGUAAAGAUCUUUCAGUGGGGAAGAUAAUGACGGUACCCACAGAAGAAGCCCCGGCUAACUCCGUGCCAGCAGCCGCGGUAAUGUGACUACUG
rnacentral:rRNA from 1 species